rnacentral:rRNA from 1 species
CCCUUAGAUGUUCUGGGCCGCACGCGCGCUACACUGAUGCAUUCAACGAGUCCAACCUUGACCGAGAGGUCCGGGUAAUCUUUGAAACUGCAUCGUGAUGGGGCUAGAUUAUUGCAAUUAUUAAUCUUCAACGAGGAAUGCCUAGUAAGCGUGAUUCAUCAAAUUGCGUUGAUUACGUCCCUGCCCUUUGUACACACCGCCCGUCGCUCCUACCGAUUGAGUGUGUUGGUGAGGAGUUUGGAUUGGCCUCGGAAGGUGGUUCGCCACCGUCCGUAGCUGAGAAGUUCUCCAAACCGCCCCACUUAGAGGAAGGAGAAGUCGUAACA